CGUGGGCUCGCAGCAGAUGAACCUGACGGCCGUGCGCCGCCACGACCCGUACGUGGCCGACAUUGUGGACAGCGCCACCCAGGUGGCCGUCUACGAGUACAACUCGCCGGCCAGCGAGUGGCAAAAAACAGACAUGCAGGGAGCGCUCUUCGUCUACAAAAGGUCGGGUCCGCCCUACCACAGCUUCAUGGUGCUCAACCGUUUGAACACGAAGAACCUGCUGCAGCC